rnacentral:pre_miRNA from 1 species
UUUAAGUUCAGUUGUAAUUUCUGUCCGAUGCUUGACCAUUCGUUAUAUUUGAAUUUUGUUAUGAUUAGUGUUUUUUUAUUAGAUGAUAAAACAUAAAUAUUAUUUUAUGUGUGAUUUUUUUAAUUUUUUAAUUUCUUUUAAAUAAGAUGGACGGUUAAACAUACACACAGAAGCUGAUAGCUGCACUCAAA